rnacentral:rRNA from 1 species
AUUGAACGCUGGCGGCAGGCCUAACACAUGCAAGUCGAGCGGAUGAAGGGAGCUUGCUCCUGGAUUCAGCGGCGGACGGGUGAGUAAUGCUAGGAAUCUGCCUGGUAGUGGGGGAUAACGUCCGGAAACGGGCGCUAAUACCGCAUACGUCCUGAGGGAGAAAGUGGGGGAUCUUCGGACCUCACGCUAUCAGAUGAGCCUAGGUCGGAUUAGCUAGUUGGUGGGGUAAAGGCCUACCAAGGCGACGAUCCGUAACUGGUCUGAGAGGAUGAUCAGUCACACUGGAACUGAGACACGGUCCAGACUCCUACGGGAGGCAGCAGUGGGGAAUAUCGGACAAUGGGCGAAAGCCUGAUCCAGCCAUGCCGCGUGUGUGAAGAAGGUCUUCGGAUUGUAAAGCACUUUAAGUUGGGAGGAAGGGCAGUAAGUUAAUACCUUGCUGUUUUGACGUUACCAACAGAAUAAGCACCGGCUAACUUCGUG